rnacentral:rRNA from 1 species
UACGAAGGGGGCUAGCGUUGCUCGGAAUCACUGGGCGUAAAGCGCACGUAGGCGGACUCUUAAGUCGGUGGUGAAAUCCUGGAGCUCAACUCCAGAACUGCCUUCGAUACUGGGAGUCUCGAGUCCGGGAGAGGUGAGUGGAACUGCGAGUGUAGAGGUGAAAUUCGUAGAUAUUCGCAAGAACACCAGUGGCGAAGGCGGCUCACUGGCCCGGUACUGACGCUGAGGUGCGAAAGCGAGGGGAGCAAACAGG